GAAGGAAUAGACGUGUGUGCCCUGGGCGAAGAGAGAGGGGGCUGGUGGGGCUCUCAGCCCAGACCCAGCUGCCUGCCCCUUUCCUCGCCCUUUCUCCGGAGAGAGAGAUAUAGAAGAGCAGUUCAGGAGUCACAAAUGCACAUGAAGACAAGUCGGAUUUGUUGGGUGUCAAACAUCAAAGGAAUGGAGAUGGUAUAACUGGGCGUGGAUAGCUAACCCUGCCUUUAGAGAAGCAAAAUGUCGGUAAGUAUGGUGGG
rnacentral:lncRNA from 11 species